GAUGAACGCUAGCUACAGGCUUAACACAUGCAAGUCGAGGGGCAGCAUGAACUUAGCUUGCUAAGUUUGAUGGCGACCGGCGCACGGGUGAGUAACACGUAUCCAACCUUCCGUUUACUCAGGGAUAGCCUUUCGAAAGAAAGAUUAAUACCUGAUAGUAUGGUGAGAUUGCAUGAUAGCACCAUUAAAGAUUUAUUGGUAAACGAUGGGGAUGCGUUCCAUUAGGUAGUAGGCGGGGUAACGGCCCACCUAGCCGACGAUGGAUAGGGGUUCUGAGAGGAAGGUCCCCCACAUUGGAACUGAGACACGGUCCAAAACUCCUACGGGAGGCAGCAGUGAGGAAUAUUGGUCAAUGGGCAGAGCCUGAACCAGCCAAGUAGCGUGAAGGAUGAAGGUCCUACGGAUUGUAAACUUCUUUUAUACGGGAAUAAAGUAUCCUACGUGUAGGAUUUUGUAUGUACCGUAUGAAUAAGCAUCGGCUAACUCCGUGCCAGCAGCCG
rnacentral:rRNA from 1 species